GUGAAUCAUCAAAUCUUUGAACGCAAAUUGCACUUUCUGGUAUUCCGGAAAGUAUGUCUGUUUGAGGGUCAGUUAAAUUAAAUUCGGUGUUGUUGCUACUCGUAGUGGUGUGUGAUGCAUCGGAAUUGAGUCGUUUUUUAUCUUUGGUCUAAGUGACUUAAAAUUAUGUUCGAUUUUUGUAUGUAUUCAAAUUAUUACUUACGUUCGUAAUAUCAUAUAUUAGGUGCGAUCAUUUAAAUGAUUUUGUGUCUAUAAUUUUUUAUUAUUUGAACUAAAAUCAGGUAAGAAUACCCGCUGAA
rnacentral:misc_RNA from 1 species